ACAAACGCGUUGAAAGGAAGAGUAAACUCUAACAAAGCUAACAGAGAGUUCUGGUUGGUGAAAAGGAACAGUGGAGUGAAAGUUGAAGAUGGCCCUGGAGCGGUGAAGGUGAGUAUAUUAUAUGAGCCGUCAACGGUUACACCCGUUAUAGUGUUAAUGAGGUCUGAAAGUUUAACAUAUUUCAUUGAAGAUAUUUUGAUGAUUGAUUAUGAAUAGAUAAUGAAAUUUCAGAUGAAGUAAAGUGGUACCACGAAGUCAACCCUCUCGUCUUUACA
rnacentral:ncRNA from 1 species